ensembl:lncRNA
ACUUAUACGGCAUCAACUAUGAGAAUCUAUGAAAGCGGGAUGUCAAGAUUCAUACAGCGGUUCAGCUGCUGCUGGUGCAGCUAUUGUGAUAUUGAAAUGGGAGUUUUGGAGACAAGACUUAAUCACCUUGAACAGGAUCUUCUUUUCCAUUGAAGAGUGUGACAUCGGGGAAAACGGACGCGGUACUUCAGCCCCGCUGGCCUCAGUGCACCACCGGCCAUCGCCAUCCCAGGGUACACACUUUCUUUCUCUGGGUGUCGUAACUAUCGCCACCACUCUGUGACGUCACUGCGUCCCCGACGGCCCCACUCUCACACACACACACACACACGCACACACACACACACACACACACACACACAACCCCCUGGCGUCACUGAAACGACUUGUGUGACACCUCGGUGGCUGACACAUCCCAGAAAUCACCCCCCAAUCAACAUGCAUCAAUGAUACAAUAGUUGAAUACACUACACGUCCACUGUUGCCCUCCUGGCUUCUUCCGGGGCUGUUGCAUCGUUGGCUGACAGACCCCCUAUGUUGCACAACAACACAACAAACCAAACCAAGAAACGCCUUCGUAUCAACUCCGUCACGUUGUCCUUUUGGGGAUUUUCUGUGGAUGAAGACUGAGUUCCUGGAUCUUUUGGGUGUUUGUCUGUUCAUGGAAAUGUUUGUCUCUGUGUGUAUUCUAAGAAGCUGCUAUUGCUAAUGAUGGUAUUAUAAAUGAUCUGAAAUGAAAUCUUAAUGAUGACAUGAUAUCUUUUACUGUGGUGGGCACAUUUUCAAUAUGAGAUAAACGCACAUCUGAGAAAUGCAGUUUUUGUAUUAUAGACUGAUCAUUCUUACUGGUCAGCAUUGACUUUGGUGAUGCCGAGUGUGUCAAACAACAACAAGAACAAUCAGGUUUGAGUUCAUGCUAUUGUGUGUUUUGUUUCUGUUUUUUUCUGGUCGUUUUGUGCUUUGGACUAUCAUAAUACUUCACAAUCAGCCACUGAUUGGCUUUUACUUAUAUUUACUUAUAUGUUACUCUGGAUAAGAGCGUCGGCUAAAUGCCUUAAAUGGAUGUCCAUGCUAGCAGUAAAGCCUGUGACACAC